AAAUUUAAUUAAAAUCAUGGCCUGUUUUGUUGAGUUGAAUUUUAGAGGUUUUUGGCGUAUCAAGUUAUUGAAGGAGGUGAGGCGCAGUUAAAUGCUGGAUCUCUUUCAUUCAUAAGCGUCCAAGGUACCAUGACACAAUCAUGGAAAAGUUCUCUAAAGACACUGCAACAUCAGGUCAGGUCCUUAUUCUUGAGUGGAAUAUCAUAAGAGUUUACACCAAGUAUAACAGCCCCUAAUUGUAACUGCUGAAGAUAUGUGUGAGAGAGAAUGCGACAGACAAGUUGUGAUGUGUUUGCGCUGUAAUAUAGUUUUGGAAUGGACCUCUGUUUCAUGUCUUGUUUCUCAAAUGCAAGAUGUGCCUUGGAAGUCCUUUUUCCGAAGCCCUGCUAUAUG